GAGUUUGAUCUUGGCUCAGAUUGAACGCUGGCGGCAGGCCUAACACAUGCAAGUCGAGCGGAUGAAGGGAGCUUGCUCCUGGAUUCAGCGGUGGACGGGUGAGUAAUGCCUAGGAAUCUGCCUGGUAGUGGGGGAUAACGUCCGGAAACGGGCGCUAAUACCGCAUACGUCCUGAGGGAGAAAGUGGGGGAUCUUCGGACCUCACGCUAUCAGAUGAGCCUAGGUCGGAUUAGCUAGUUGGUGGGGUAAAGGCCUACCAAGGCGACGAUCCGUAACUGGUCUGAGAGGAUGAUCAGUCACACUGGAACUGAGACACGGUCCAGACUCCUACGGGAGGCAGCAGUGGGGAAUAUUGGACAAUGGGCGAAAGCCUGAUCCAGCCAUGCCGCGUGUGUGAAGAAGGUCUUCGGAUUGUAAAGCACUUUAAGUUGGGAGGAAGGGCAGUAAGUUAAUACCUUGCUGUUUUGACGUUACCAACAGAAUAAGCACCGGCUAACUUCGUGCCAG
rnacentral:rRNA from 1 species